UACGUAGGGGGCAAGCGUUGUCCGGAGUUACUGGGCGUAAAGCGCGCGCAGGCGGCAACCUAAGUGUCGUGUGAAAGCCCCCGGCUCAACCGGGGGAGGCCAUGGCAAACUGGGUCGCUCGAGCUGCGGAGAGGCCCCUCGAAUUGCCGGUGUAGCGGUGAAAUGCGUAGAGAUCGGCAGGAAGACCAAGGGGGAAGCCAGGGGGCUGGCCGCAGGCUGACGCUGAGGCGCGACAGCGUGGGGAGCAAACCGG
rnacentral:rRNA from 1 species